UCCGGUUUAACACCGGCGGUCUCCACAGAGUGCCCAACUUAAUGGUGGCAACUACGGAUAGGGGUUGCGCUCGUUGCGGGACUUAACCCAACAUUUCACAACACGAGCUGACGACAGCCAUGCAGCACCUGUCUCCACGUCUCUUGCGAGACAACGACAUCUCUGCCGUCUUCGUGGGAUGUCAAACCCAGGUAAGGUUCUGCGCGUUGCUUCGAAUUAAACCACAUACUCCACCGCUUGUGCGGGCCCCCGUCAAUUCCUUUGAGUUUCAGCCUUGCGGCCGUACUCCCCAGGCGGGAUACUUAAUGUGUGAACUUUGAUACUCAGAGGGUUAAUUCUCCAAACAUCUAGUAUCCAUCGUUUAUGGUGCGGACUAC
rnacentral:misc_RNA from 1 species